UACGUAGGGUGCGAGCGUUAAUCGGAAUUACUGGGCGUAAAGCGUGCGCAGGCGGUGAUGUAAGACAGGUGUGAAAUCCCCGGGCUUAACCUGGGAACUGCGCGCGAAACGGGGGGGCUGGAGUUCGGGAGAGGAGCGUGGAAUUCCCAGUGUAGAGGUGAAAUUCGUAGAUAUUGGGAAGAACACCGGUGGCGAAGGCGGCGCUCUGGACCGAGACUGACGCUGAGGCGCGAAAGCGUGGGGAGCAAACAGG
rnacentral:rRNA from 1 species